rnacentral:rRNA from 1 species
UACGUAGGGUGCGAGCGUUAAUCGGAAUCACUGGGCGUAAAGGGUGCGUAGGCGGGUCUUUAAGUCAGGGGUGAAAUCCUGGAGCUCAACUCCAGAACUGCCUUUGAUACUGAGGAUCUUGAGUUCGGGAGAGGUGAGUGGAACUGCGAGUGUAGAGGUGAAAUUCGUAGAUAUUCGCAAGAACACCAGUGGCGAAGGCGGCUCACUGGCCCGAUACUGACGCUGAGGCACGAAAGCGUGGGGAGCAAACAGGG